UUACUUUUUUUUCUCUUCUGUCAACUGUUGACUCGCUAUCACUGCUAUUACCAAAACUAAUAAUUGAUACUUUUUAAUCUGAUUAUAGCACAAACUAAACCACUAGUUAAGUGCAGGUUUAAAAUGUUUAGCAGCAGAAAAAAAAGGUUAAACUUAAAUUAAGAAUCAUAAAAGAAAGGGAAAAAGGGAAAAGUAAGAAAAAGUAUGAGUCAUCAUUGUUGUUCAGAAAUCCCGCUUGAAAUAAAAAAAACGUGUUUAGUAAAUACCCAAUCAGAAAAUUGUAUGACGUCAGUGGCUAUCCAUUGAAACAUAAAUACAUGAAAAAAUUAAAAUUGUUUCCUCCCAAUUCUCAUUCUCAAGUAUUCGUCAUCCUUAUCAUCAUCAACUAAAUGAAGGAAACGAAAGAAUCUAAAAAAUGUUGCUGACCAAAGGCGAUGUUUCUCUUAUUCAUCUUCUUUCCGGUUCUCAUCUUUUUUUCUUUCUUUUUCUUACUUCUACCACUUCACCAACAACCUCUUUAAGGUGUUCAUCAUCAUAACCACCACCAUCAUAAGAAAGGAGGAGGUGGGGGAAGGGUCAGCAUCCAAAUGAAAAGCGAGAAGGAAGGAACAGAAGAAGGCAAAGAAACAAAUCACUUUCAAGACAAUGUGAUCAAUGUGAUUCCAGUGAAUUACCAAUCAAUAAAUUCUACCUGGUCCUUUCGUUACCUCACUACUCUCACCUCUCACUCUCAACCUUAACUACCUUUAUUAAUUUAACCUUAAAAAGGAGACGGAAUUUACUAUUGGCGUCAACGGAAAAGGCAGGCAUCAAUUAUAAUCGUUUAAUUACAAUCAAACUGGUCGACACUUGACUGUUACAAAAACCCGCGAAAUAACCAUUCCAAUUGGGAUUUCCAGUGCUAAUGUCGCACGCAAAAAAGUUUUCCUUGCUCUUUUUUUUCUUUCUCCUGAUAAUCAUCAAAAUUAUCACCAUUUUCAUUUGUUAAACUCUUUUU